AGCUAAUAGAUACCCCGGUAGUCCACGCCGUAAACUAUGGAUGCUAGCUGUUAGAGGUAUCGACCCCUCUAGUAGCGAAAGCUAACGCGUUAAGCAUCCCGCCUGUGGAGUACGGUCGCAAGACUAAAACAUAAAGGAAUUGACGGGGACCCGCACAAGCGGUGGAGCGUGUUGUUUAAUUCGAUGGUAAGCGAAGAACCUUACCCAGGCUUGACAUCCUUGGAAUUUUGGCGAAAGCCGAGAGUGCCUUCGGGAACCAAGUGACAGGUGUUGCAUGGCCGUCGUCAGCCCGUGUCGUGAGAUGUUUGGUUAAGUCCAUCAACGAGCGCAACCCUUAUAGUUAGUUGAAUUUUUCUAGCUAGACUGCCCUGGCAACAGGGAGGAAGGAGGGGAUGAUGUCAGGUCAGUAUUACCCUUACGUCUGGGGCUACAAACACGCUACAAUGGCCGGUACAAAGGCAGCCAAGUCGCGAGACGGAGCAAAUCCCAUCAAAGCCGGUCUAAGUUCGGAUAGCAGGCUGAAACUCGCCUGCUUGAAGCUGGAAUC
rnacentral:rRNA from 1 species